rnacentral:rRNA from 1 species
UUAUUUGAGAGUUUGAUCCUGGCUCAGGAUGAACGCUGGCGGCGUGCCUAACACAUGCAAGUUGAGCGAUUUACUUCGGUAAAGAGCGGCGGACGGGUGAGUAACGCGUGGGUAACCUACCCUGUACACACGGAUAACAUACCGAAAGGUAUGCUAAUACGGGAUAAUAUAUUUGAGAGGCAUCUCUUAAAUAUCAAAGGUGAGCCAGUACAGGAUGGACCCGCGUCUGAUUA